rnacentral:rRNA from 1 species
UACGUAGGGUGCAGGCGUUAAUCGGAAUUACUGGGCGUAAAGCGUGCGCAGGCGGUUUGCUAAGACAGGUGUGAAAUCCCCGGGCUUAACCUGGGAACUGCGCUUGUUACUGGCAGGCUUGAGUGUGGCAGAGGGGGGUGGAAUUCCACGUGUAGCAGUGAAAUGCGUAGAGAUGUGGAGGAACACCGAUGGCGAAGGCAGCCCCCCGGGCUAACACUGACGCUCAUGCACGAAAGCGUGGGGAGCAAGCAGG